GCAGUGGUGGUUCAGUGGUAGAGUUCUCGCCUUCCAUGCGGGAGACCAGGGUUCGAUUCCUGGGCAAUGCA
rnacentral:tRNA from 1 species